rnacentral:rRNA from 1 species
UGUGAGCUCGAUGAGUAGGGCGGGACACGUGGUAUCCUGUCUGAAUAUGGGGGGACCAUCCUCCAAGGCUAAAUACUCCUGACUGACCGAUAGUGAACCAGUACCGUGAGGGAAAGGCGAAAAGAACCCCGGCGAGGGGAGUGAAAAAGAACCUGAAACCGUGUACGUACAAGCAGUGGGAGCACGCUUAGGCGUGUGACUGCGUACCUUUUGUAUAAUGGGUCAGCGACUUAUAUUCUGUAGCAAGGUUAACCGAAUAGGGGAGCCGAAGGGAAACCGAGUCUUAACUGGGCGUUAAGUUGCAGGGUAUAGACCCGAAACCCGGUGAUCUAGCCAUGGGCAGGUUGAAGGUUGGGUAACACUAACUGGAGGACCGAACCGACUAAUGUUGAAAAAUUAGCGGAUGACUUGUGGCUGGGGGUGAAAGGCCAAUCAAACCGGGAGAUAGCUGGUUCUCCCCGAAAGCUAUUUAGGUAGCGCCUCGUGAAUUCAUCUCCGGGGGUAGAGCACUGUUUCGGCAAGGGGGUCAUCCCGACUUACCAACCCGAUGCAAACUGCGAAUACCGGAGAAUGUUAUCACGGGAGACACACGGCGGGUGCUAACGUCCGUCGUGAAGAGGGAAACAACCCAGACCGCCAGCUAAGGUCCCAAAGUCAUGGUUAAGUGGGAAACGAUGUGGGAAGGCCCAGACAGCCAGGAUGUUGGCUUAGAAGCAGCCAUCAUUUAAAGAAAGCGUAAUAGCUCACUGGUCGAGUCGGCCUGCGCGGAAGAUGUAACGGGGCUAAACCAUGCACCGAAGCUGCGGCAGCGACGCUGAUGCGUUGUUGGGUAGGGGAGCGUUCUGUAAGCCUGUGAAGGUGUGCUGUGAGGCAUGCUGGAGGUAUCAGAAGUGCGAAUGCUGACAUAAGUAACGAUAAAGCGGGUGAAAAGCCCGCUCGCCGGAAGACCAAGGGUUCCUGUCCAACGUUAAUCGGGGCAGGGUGAGUCGACCCCUAAGGCGAGGCCGAAAGGCGUAGUCGAUGGGAAACAGGUUAAUAUUCCUGUACUUGGUGUUACUGCGAAGGGGGGACGGAGAAGGCUAUGUUGGCCGGGCGACGGUUGUCCCGGUUUAAGCGUGUAGGCUGGUUUUCCAGGCAAAUCCGGAAAAUCAAGGCUGAGGCGUGAUGACGAGGCACUACGGUGCUGAAGCAACAAAUGCCCUGCUUCCAGGAAAAGCCUCUAAGCAUCAGGUAACAUCAAAUCGUACCCCAAACCGACACAGGUGGUCAGGUAGAGAAUACCAAGGCGCUUGAGAGAACUCGGGUGAAGGAACUAGGCAAAAUGGUGCCGUAACUUCGGGAGAAGGCACGCUGAUAUGUAGGUGAAGCGACUUGCUCGUGGAGCUGAAAUCAGUCGAAGAUACCAGCUGGCUGCAACUGUUUAUUAAAAACACAGCACUGUGCAAACACGAAAGUGGACGUAUACGGUGUGACGCCUGCCCGGUGCCGGAAGGUUAAUUGAUGGGGUCAGCGCAAGCGAAGCUCUUGAUCGAAGCCCCGGUAAACGGCGGCCGUAACUAUAACGGUCCUAAGGUAGCGAAAUUCCUUGUCGGGUAAGUUCCGACCUGCACGAAUGGCGUAAUGAUGGCCAGGCUGUCUCCACCCGAGACUCAGUGAAAUUGAACUCGCUGUGAAGAUGCAGUGUACCCGCGGCAAGACGGAAAGACCCCGUGAACCUUUACUAUAGCUUGACACUGAACAUUGAGCCUUGAUGUGUAGGAUAGGUGGGAGGCUUUGAAGUGUGGACGCCAGUCUGCAUGGAGCCGACCUUGAAAUACCACCCUUUAAUGUUUGAUGUUCUAACGUUGACCCGUAAUCCGGGUUGCGGACAGUGUCUGGUGGGUAGUUUGACUGGGGCGGUCUCCUCCUAAAGAGUAACGGAGGAGCACGAAGGUUGGCUAAUCCUGGUCGGACAUCAGGAGGUUAGUGCAAUGGCAUAAGCCAGCUUGACUGCGAGCGUGACGGCGCGAGCAGGUGCGAAAGCAGGUCAUAGUGAUCCGGUGGUUCUGAAUGGAAGGGCCAUCGCUCAACGGAUAAAAGGUACUCCGGGGAUAACAGGCUGAUACCGCCCAAGAGUUCAUAUCGACGGCGGUGUUUGGCACCUCGAUGUCGGCUCAUCACAUCCUGGGGCUGAAGUAGGUCCCAAGGGUAUGGCUGUUCGCCAUUUAAAGUGGUACGCGAGCUGGGUUUAGAACGUCGUGAGACAGUUCGGUCCCUAUCUGCCGUGGGCGCUGGAGAACUGAGGGGGGCUGCUCCUAGUACGAGAGGACCGGAGUGGACGCAUCACUGGUGUUCGGGUUGUCAUGCCAAUGGCACUGCCCGGUAGCUAAAUGCGGAAGAGAUAAGUGCUGAAAGCAUCUAAGCACGAAACUUGCCCCGAGAUGAGUUCUCCCUGACUCCUUGAGAGUCCUGAAGGAACGUUGAAGACGACGACGUUGAUAGGCCGGGUGUGUAAGCGCAGCGAUGCGUUGAGCUAACCGGUACUAAUGAACCGUGAGGCUUAACCUU